UCCAAACAUCCUGUGUUUAAGAUUGACCAUGUAAAUUGGCUUUAACUGAUUUAAUUAAUUGUAAACUAUGAAGGAAAUAACAUUUUAUCAUAAACAGUUAAGAUGAACUACAGAAAAAAUAUUUUGUUUAUUUGUUAUUGUCAAUGCUGUUAACUGUUUGCACCAAAGAUUAAUAUAAUCUUUGGUUUGCACAGCCGAUAACAGUGAAUAAAAAAUACUUAAGAUGGAGCCACUAGCCACAAAAAUAUUCGUGUUGAGGAUUAGAAGAGAUUAACGAUGUAAAUGAGAAAUGAUGAUGAUGAUGAAAAGUAAUUAACAGUGUAAUUAAUCAAUUCACCCUACAUUUUUCAUGAAAUGUUUGUUUGUUGAAAGAGCAUGACAAAAAUUUUCUUGUUAAAAGGCUUAAUCAGUAAAUAUUGUGUUUUUUCUUCCAUUGUUGGUUUACUCGUUCUUCAACAAAUUAACAGAAGCUUCUUAAACUACUCAAAUGGCUGGUCAUUUAAUAUCAAUGAACAGAUUAAUCUAUUAAUGAUUUGGACAAUGGAAACCUAAAAACAAGCCACAUAACUGCGUCAUCUAUAGUUACCAGCUUUACCACAUGGCAAUUUGCAUAGAAUUAACAUUUUCUCUUUCUGUUCACUUUGGUGUCAAGACAAUGGAACCAGGCUUAAGAUUUCAAGGGUUAAUAGCAGUCAUUCAUGAGGCCAGUAAAUUAUCCACAACUAAGCCUGUUAACCAAUCUCACUGUUCAAAAAAAGGAUCCUUCAAUGAUAGUCAACUAAAAUAGGAUAAAUCUUGCUUUGUUGACAUGGACCCACUUGGCCAGGUGACUGCCACUAAUUAAACCAUGUUUAACCAUCAACCUUAACACCUUUACUUUGUGACCCAAAACAGUAAUUUAUGUAAUCCUGUUGAAUCCAUUUAUGCGAUUGUUUUGAAGCCGGUAUAGCCUGAGAUGACUUGGAAAUGGGCUUUAUCAAAGCUUAAGGAAUUUGCCAUCCAGUUAAUAUAAUGUACAACACAGGAAUGGAAUCUUGAGUUUAUCAAAGCAAAGAAAAGCUCUUCCAAAGCUUUCCAAUAUAUUGGAGGGAUUGAAAUGAGGAUUUACUUGAAUGGAUUGGGCCAACAUUUUUAUUAUCAUCUAACCUCAGCCAAAUCAAGUCAUUGUAUUUAACUGCAAGACCAAGGAAAUAAAAAGAAACAAGUAGACAAAAAAUGUCAAACCAUCGGACUUUCACAAAGCAGGACACUCAGUGGACAAGUCAAAAUUAAGAAAGAUAAACACUAAAUAGAUAAAGGAGUGACAACAACAAAAAGCUUUCCCUUUUUUUCUCCGAGAUUGUUUCUUCUUCUUCCACAACUUCUCCUUUUGAUGAUUGCCAUAAAUCAACCGGAAGCAACAUCCAUUACAGUAUCAAGAUUGAAAUUUGUGUCUCAUCACUGAAUUAAACAACGAUUCAGUCUCUCCUUCUCUCCCUAGUUUCAUUUCUAUCCAUACAACUUCAUAUCAACCUCAUAAGCGCAUAUCUUUGUCGUGCUCUAAAGAAAGUUAAAAGCUCUUAAAGAGAGGGAAAGUCUUCCAUGAAAACAAAGCAACACAAAGAGGAAAAAGAAGCAACACCAAUGUAAUCACCAUUAUAAUUGGCUUGUUUAUAUCGAUGAUGAUAUUGUUGAAAGAGUUGGAAAGGUCAAACGGCUAACUAAAGAAAUCGAGAGAAAAGGGAAAAAGAGAAGGAAAAGUUUAUUUAUUUACCAAAACCAAAACACUGUGUUUUAUUAACAAUUACAACACCAACAAACAGCAAUCAACAAUCAACAACAUUAACUUAUAAUGGUCUUGGAUGUUUAACUAGUCUACACCAAGAAAAGAUAAAUUUGCCAGGUUAAAAGUCAAUUUUUUCCUUCAUUUAACCCUUCACAUCUUUAGUAGUUGUAAUAAUACUAUUGCCUGCUAUUCCAGUGAUGAUAAUAAUAUUAUUAGUUACAACUAAUAUCUUCAAAUCAGACAACAAUUGAAAGAUCAUCAUCUUCAUCAUCACUCUCACCAAAACUAUUACAAUUCAACAGAGUCAUUGAUCAUCUCAACCAACAUUAUUAUUAAUUCAUUAUUUUUUUCAACAUUUUUUUUCUUUAAUACAUUGAUUUACAAAGUACACUUUACAUGCAUUUCAAUGUUAACCAAUUGAUGCAUGUUAAAGUGACAAACAUCAUUUAAAUCAAUUGAAGGACAUAAUAAAUGUUGAAAAAUUUAAUUAUUCACAAUCGGAUAAUGAUUAAUAUUUUAAUUCAAUGUUCAUCUAAAUGAACAUUGAGUGAGAGAAGACGAAUUGAAAAGAAAGAGAAGAUUUUUAUGUGAAAUAAAUGAUGUAAACUUGUUAAACUGUUAUUGAUAUAAUCAUUAAUAUUAUUGAUGAGUAUCUUUUAUCUUCCCAUUUAGCUGCAGCUUUCAAUGUUAAGCGCUACUCUGCCAACCAAAAGGAUAACUGGAUCUAUUAUCAUGAUAAUCUGUUAAUCAACUUGCUUUUACUGAUUAAUUGAAUCAUGGUUGGUCUCUUGAUUGCAAAGGAAACCCGUCUGUUUAUUAAUCAACUUUCAAGCGUAAAACAAAAGACAGGGAAAUUGAAAAAAAGAAACGAAAGAAAAUCAAUUUUUUCAUUUUACAUUUUUCUCUGAAUAAAUUAUUAAAUGCAACUGGCAAAGUAAUUUAUCAAUUGUGAUGUUGAUUUAGACAUUGAAAGAGCCAUUUGAUUGAAAUUACAUGGAAAGUCGAUCAAAAUUUUCUCCCUUUUUCUGCUUCUAUUUUAUUAUAUGGAUAAAUAUACAAACGUCUCAAGAGCUUUUCAUCAUAUCUUCAUUUUCAUCUUAAUGUAACCUUUUCCCCUUCAUCUUGUUCCAUUGCCUGACAAGAAUCCGAAUUGAACUUUUAUAUAUUCAGGUGAAAUGCGGUGAAAUUAGUCCCAAAUCAUGUUUGGUUUUGUUUGAUUAUUACUAUUAAAUUGAUUUUACUGUUGCA